UCCUGUAACAGGGUAUAGGGAGCCAGGGUGGUUUCCCUCCGAACCAGAGGGUAAAGAGCCACUCUCCCAGCCUGAGUGGGUGGGGCCAGACCAAGCUUACUCCAACCCCCGGAAGGGGUGGGGUGGAACAGGAAGUACAAAGGGCAGGGCCCUUAGCCCAGUCAGGGCAGCACCAGAGAGGGAGACAGACACAGGCUGUUCCCUCCAGACCCUGCUGCCAAGCCAGGGGAGGCCCUGGGCCAGGAGAAACCUGACCUGAAGGAAGGACUGGGGCUACCAGGACUGCCAGCCGCCGAGUACCUGGAGGAGCCAGGCAGUAACCCGGGCCAGCGUGAGCCUGACACGGAGCUGGAGCUGGAGCUGCCAGCAGCUGAAUGCCCUGACGAGCCGGAGGGACCAGAGGGACCCGCUCGAGAGACCGGAGGGAACAGUACUGCAGGUACUGAAGAUAAGUCAGGCCUGCUGAGAUAAUCACGACUGAUCACAAAGAACGGCAGCCCAGGGCUCAAGUCUGAGAAGGAAAAAUGCUGAUUGACACCAGUCAAAAAUCUGGCACUACAAACUUACAGAGAGGAAUGAGAGAGCCAUCUCUGUAUGCUAAGGGAUCCGGAACUUACAGUUAGAAACUGGAGCACUUCUUGACUGUGGCCCAGCUAAUACACAUACUUCUAGUGGAAGAGAAUUCCAGAGGUAAGAGCUCUUGCUACAGAGACUGGUCCUCUGAUGCCUUUAUCUCUCACUCCUCACCCAGGGAAGUUCACUCAAAUAUUCCAGGUGAAUGUUGCCUGCUGUUCAGCAGCUGGAUGUAAGAUCUGCCUAACUCUCUGGGACUCGAAUCAGCUUGGUUCACCAGCUGAGAUUUCUAAAGACUAAUUAGUAGUAUCCUCAGAACUGAGUGUGUAUGUUUCGGUCAUUAUUUAUAAAGUUGCUAGUAUGACGUAGCUUCAGCUGUUAGUUAUGAAGGCUCUGUUGUGGCCGUGACAUGGCAGCUAAGUAAGUAGUUCUCAAUAGCCAGAAUGAAGAGAUGAGAUGAGCAAAACCAAUCUGGACUAACCAAGGAAAUAUGCUUUUUUUGAGAGGGUAAGCUAUAGCUCAUCACCUCCUCCUCCUCCCACAACCGCACCAUGAUGAGGGUCUCCCUGAAACAACAGUUACUUAACUGCCAGAAAUUGAGAUAAGAAAUCAGUAUCUCCUGCUGUAUGAGUAAAGGGCUUGUCUACACCCCCUCCCCCCGAGCGCAGCAAGUUUCAGCACUGUCAAACACCUGUGUAGAAGGUACACCAGCACUAGGCUCCAGCUGGGCUCCCAGCACUGGUAGUUACACCCCUCAUUGAGGUGUUUUUUUUACAGCGCUGGGAGACCUCUCCCAGCACUCUGCCAUGACUACACAAGCCACAUUAAAGCAAUGCCGCUGCCAGUGCAAACUAGCCCAAAGAUAGUUAAAAUACAAGAUAUUUAUAUCAGACUGAGAAUGUUAAAGGUUUGAGGGAACCUUAUUGCAGGCAAGAGAAUCUCCCCCCCUGACAGGUUGUAGGCAAGAGGACAGGAACUUUGUAGAUUAUAAUGAAGAUGGGGUUUUUGCUAGAAGGAACAGAAUUGCUCCUGGAAAAAGUUAAUAAACUUGCUACAUAGCCUAAUUCAUUAGGGCUGUCCAUUUUCUGCCAGCUACCAAGUUCAAUAUCUCCCUAUUCCUAUAUAUUGGUGUGUAUAUCAAGAGUUUGAUUAACUUCCCUGAAGUCUUUUUGUCUUUUUCUACUCUACUGGGAAUAGAGAUACAUUUGUCACAAGCAACCAGAUGCAUGCUGUACAGAAUACUUUAAAAACAAACAAAAAAAACUAUAUGAUGAACCAGAUAGGAAGAACUCAAAACAGUAAGAGUAGAGACACUAAUCAACUGAGCAUUCAACAGCAAAUUACUCUGUUAGACUUCAGCCUUGUGCAUAUUACCCCACAACAGCUGUACUGAACUAAAAUAUCAUUCCUUUGCUGAAGAAAUGCAUAGUUUAAGUUUCGACAAGAAGAUCAGAGUGGACGUUUCCCUGUGGCUGGACAGGAUACCACCAAGAGAUGCUAUUAUACAACAUGUUGAAUUCUCUUACUGUCCCCAGUAUCAUCCAGCUCUUGUAAUGGAAGACCCAGUUUGUUAGAAGUCUCUCACCAAUGUGCUUAUUUACUUUUUUCAAACUGACAUAGCUCAACCAAAGCACCUUGAUCCUGACCUACAGUAGUCAUGUUCAACUCCUGAGAUUCUUGAUUAGAAAGAAAAUCAAAAUUAUACCAAGUUACGUGAUGACUUUGAAAUGUUCAUAAACACUAAGGUUGAGGUCAAAGGAAUCUGAUC